CCCCCGGCUUUGGUCACAGUGACCGCCACCGUUGCCCGGGGAUGGGUCCCUGAGACUUGGCGAAGUAGGAGCCCUGUGUGAUCGUGCGUCAGAGUCGGGGCUGAGACCAGUCCUGGCCAGGGCAGUUACCAGGACGGUCUCCGGAGGCCGGGAUGCGCGGAGGCUCCACCAGCAGGAAGAAACGCCAGGAGGAAGAAACCUGAGACAGAUCGCCGGGGACGCAGCGCGGGAUCCCAGCCUCAGGCUUGCGCGGACGGUGUGCGGCUACCCAAGGUGCGAAAAGGAAAGAAGGCCAAAGGGAAGAAGGUGGUGCCGACCCUUGCUGUCUUGAAAAAGCAGGAGACCGUGAAAGUGGUGAAUCUUCCGUUUGAGAAAUUUGGCACUGGACAGGACAUUUUGGCAUUGGACAGAACAUCCAGCCCAAAAGGCACCUCACUUGCUUUGUCAAAUGGCCCCAUUAUACUAGGUUGCAACAGCAGAGAGCCAUCCUCUAUAAGCAGCUAGAAGUGCCUUCUGUGAUUAAUCAGUUCACCAGGGCCUUGGACCACCAAACAGCUGCUCAGUGGGGUAAGCUGGCUGGCAAGUACAGACCACAGACAAAGCAAGAGAAGCAGCAGAGACUGUUGGCCUGGGCUGAGAAGAAAGCAAAGGAGACAUCCCCACUAAGAGAUCACCUGUCCUUUUAACGGGGGUUAACUCUGUCACCACCUUAGUGAAGAAAAAGAAGGCUCAGCUGGUGGUGACUGCACAGGACAUAGAUCCCAUUGAGUUGGUUGUCUUCCUGCCUGCCCUGUAUUGUAAACUGAGCGUUCCUUACUGCAUUGUCUAAUGGAAGGCAAGCUUGAGACAUCUAGGAUUAAAAAACAAACAAACGAAC
rnacentral:lncRNA from 1 species